AACCAGACUCCUACGGGAGGCAGCAGUGGGGAAUAUUGCACAAUGGGGGGAACCCUGAUGCAGCGACGCCGCGUGGGCGAGGAAGUAUUUCGGUAUGUAAAGCCCUAUCGGCAGGGAAGAAGAAAUGACGGUACCUGAAUAAGAAGCACCGGCUAAAUACGUGCCAGCAGCCGCGGUAAUACGUAUGGUGCAAGCGUUAUCCGGAUUUACUGGGUGUAAAGGGAGCGUAGACGGCAUGGCAAGUCAGAUGUGAAAGCCCGGGGCUCAACCCCGGGACUGCAUUUGAAACUGUCAGGCUGGAGUGCAGGAGAGGUAAGUGGAAUUCCUAGUGUAGCGGUGAAAUGCGUAGAUAUUAGGAGGAACACCAGUGGCGAAGGCGGCUUACUGGACUGUAACUGACGUUGAGGCUCGAAAGCGUGGGGAGCAAACAGGAUUAGAUACCCCAGUAAUG
rnacentral:rRNA from 1 species